UACGGGGGGGGCAAGCGUUGUUCGGAAUUACUGGGCGUAAAGGGCUCGUAGGCGGCCAACUAAGUCAUACGUGAAAUCCCUCAGCUUAACUGGGGAACUGCGUGUGAUACUGGAUAGCUUGGAUUUGGGAGAGGGAUGCGGAAUUCCAGGUGUAGCGGUGAAAUGCGUAGAUAUCUGGAGGAACACCGGUGGCGAAGGCGGCAUCCUGGACCAAUAUUGACGCUGAGGAGCGAAAGCUAGGGGAGCAAACGGG
rnacentral:rRNA from 1 species